GCUUGUAGAACGGGUGGUAAUGCUGGAUGCUCCAACUUGACGCAUGUCUUGUUGGGAAAGUGUUUAGUGGCAUGGGAUGGGGUCGCGUCCUAUCAGCUUGUAGGCGGGGUAAUGGCCCACCUAGGCUUCGACGGGUAGCCGGCCUGAGAGGGCGGACGGCCACAUUGGGACUGAGAUACGGCCCAGACUCCUACGGGAGGCAGCAGGC
rnacentral:rRNA from 1 species